GUCUAUGGCCAUACCACCCUGAACACACCUGACCUCGUCUGAACUUGUAAGCUAAGCAGGGUUGGGCUUGGUUAGUAUUUGGAUGGGA
rnacentral:rRNA from 1 species